rnacentral:lncRNA from 1 species
UGGCUCUUUGGAUUUUUGGAAUCGAUUCAUUAAUUCACAUAUAUAACAUAUUAACAUAGUAUAGUAACAAUAGCUAGGUUGAACCAAGGUUAGGUACGAGUAAAAAAUAACAUAAGUGAUUUUCUCUUCAACAAUAUUUUACAAAACGAUAUAUGGCUAUUAAAAUCUAAUAAUAAGAAAAUAUUAUAUUUUAGAAACCAAAAA